rnacentral:misc_RNA from 1 species
AAUUCUCAAAACCCACUUUCUUUGAUCUUUUCGAUCAAGAAAAGGAUUUUGGACUUGGAGGAUCAAUGCUCGCUCUCAGCUUUUGAAUGUGAGCUCCUCUUAAAUAAAUUAGUGGGGUCUGCUUUGCCGAUCCUUGACGUGAUAAGGUUAUUCUACGUUUUGGAUUUGGCACUGUCCCUUUAGACAUCUGCUUCUAACUGUCU